rnacentral:tRNA from 1 species
UGGGGAUGUGGCUCAAGCGGUAGUGCGUUCGCCUGGCAUGCGAGUGGCGCUGGGUUCGAUCCUCAGCACAUAA